CAGCAGAAAUAAACAAUAUACAAAAAAAAAUGAUUUGAAAAUAAUGCACGCCAAGAUAUUAGGAAUUAUUUUGACGCUAUUUCAAGAGUAUAGUUCUUACUAUGGGUAAAUAUUACAUUCAUUACAAAUUUUAUUAAUGUGUCACUCAUGAAGUGUAUUUGUGAUCUUACUAAAGUGUAUGACUUCAGCCUAGGACAGAAGAACGUAAUAUUGUUCCUAGAUUGCUUUAUGUUAUAUUCUAACGAAACUGUUAUAUACCUAAACGUUGAAAAUAAGUAGAUUAAUAAACGUUAUUAAGUAUUAAUUUGAAAAACGUAUAUAAUACGUUUUUAAUUUAUACCGUAUCUGGAACAUUGGUGUGUCUACUUGCUCUACAAGAUACGAAUAUAAGUGACAUGAAUUCUAUUUGUUAAAAUUACUAGGUACUUACUGAAAUCUUUUACUCUCAUGUAUGCAUUUGCAUAUGACUUUUGUGAUAGUUGGGGUUAUGGCUUCAUCUGAAAACUUUGCGGUAUUUGGUUGAACGUGAUAAAGCAGUAUUCUGGACGGGACCGCGCAAAGUUGGCUACAGUUGCUUUUAACUGAUCGUAUAGUGUAACUUUCCAGACUCAAGUGCAGUCAGACCCGGGAGGGCGCAUUUCCACAUCCUGAAAUGGGAGGUGUUCCAGCUGUCCAAGGUUGAACUGCUCGAAGGGUACAUCUAGACGCCAUAGAAAUAAGGUAAAUCGUAAUUUUUGCUACUUAUUUGUAGGU